GAAGGGGGCUAGCGUUGCUCGGAAUCACUGGGCGUAAAGGGUGCGUAGGCGGGUCUUUAAGUCAGGGGUGAAGUCCUGGAGCUCAACUCCAGAACUGCCUUUGAUACUGAAGAUCUUGAGUUCGGGAGAGGUGAGUGGAACUGCGAGUGUAGAGGUGAAAUUCGUAGAUAUUCGCAAGAACACCAGUGGCGAAGGCGGCUCACUGGCCCGGUACUGACGCUGAGGCACGAAAGCGUGGGGGAGCAAACAGGAUUAGAUACCCUGGUAGUCCACGCCGUAAACGAUGAAUGCCCAGCCGUUAGUGGGUUUACUCACUAGUGGCGCAGCUAACGCUUUAAGCAUUCCGCCUGGGAGUACGGUCGCAAGAUUA
rnacentral:rRNA from 1 species